AAUUUCAAACGCGCAUUCAUUAGUUUGAAUUUUCACAUAUUGCGAGCGAAUAUCCCAAUAACGCUUCUCGUUUUUAGGGAUCUUCGCUCGUUGCCUGAAGAUAUCUGAUCUCUCUCGGGUUCUCAGAUCUCACCGCUUCCACUUGUACUGCAUCGUGUAAUUUCAGUGAAGCGGAGGCUUUUUGAGAUCCCACUUCUAUCUCUUUGAUCUUUACUUCUCGGGUGAGAUCAAACUUUUUCCCAGAAAACAUGGGAACAAAGAGUUUCUGAAAUUUUGAUCUUAUUUUCUGGCUCGUCAAACGGAUCCCCAUUUGCAUAAUUCAUCUCAUAUAAUGGGAUUUCGUUCAAGUCAUAGAAGUUUCACUUUCUAUGUCUAUCUUCUCCUUGCCGCCGGCUUAUUGCUAUUGGCUGUUGUUCGCGUCUCUGCUCAGGAGUCUGUGAUUGAUUCCGAGAAGGACGAAUUGAGUGACUGGGGUAAAGAUCUGGGCCGGCGUGGCAUGAUUGAUAAGAGUGCUCUUGGGGUAGGAGGCAAGAAUGAUGUGAAUGCCAUUGGUUUAAGUAUUAAUUUGGAUCACGGUCUUGGAAUUUUCAAUGCAUUUUUUGCCAGUUUUUCAAUGAUUAUGGUCAGCGAGAUUGGAGAUGAGACUUUUAUCAUAGCAGCUCUUAUGGCAAUGCGUCACCCCAAGUCUAUUGUAUUAUCGGGAGCACUGACUGCAUUGGUUGUUAUGACAGUACUUUCCACUGGACUUGGUAGGAUUUUGCCGAAUUUGAUCUCGAGGAAGCAUACAAAUAGCGCAGCUACUGUUCUUUAUGCAUUUUUUGGGCUGCGAUUACUAUAUAUUGCUUGGAGAUCAGAUUCAAAAUCAUCCCAGAAAAAGGAAAUGGAGGAGGUAGAAGAGAAACUCGAGUCAGGGCAGGGGAAAACGGCCUUCCGCCGCUUUUUUUCAAGAUUCUGCACCCCUAUAUUUUUGGAGUCAUUUGUUUUAACCUUUCUAGCAGAGUGGGGCGAUCGUAGCCAGAUAGCAACAAUUGCGUGUGUGGGGGCCAUAUGGGGGUUGAGGAACCUGGAUGAUGUUUGAAACUCUGAUGAUGGCAACGAUGUUGCCAGGGAAACAGCAAAGCCAGUUGUGGAACAUUACCAAUUUUGUCAAUUGCAUGAACCAGUGGGCCUUUCUCACACUUCAUAUAAGCACCACAACCGGCAAAAUGUUGCAGUUCCAUAAUCCUUUAGUCCCAUUGCAGUUGGACAAUGAUUUCUUAACCAUUUUAGCGCCAUCCCCUGAAGCUGGAACAGAGGAAAAGUCAGCUGGCAACACACAAAAACGCAGUUGGAGUGGCUAUUGGGGCUACAAUAGGACAUACUGUCUGUACGUCACUGGCGGUGAUAGGUGGAAGCAUACUAGCCUCUAAGAUCUCGCAAAAGACAGUUGCUACAGUUGGAGGCCUG